CUUACCAAUUAAAAUUUGAAUUGAACAGAUAAUAAAUGGGAUACAUAUAUAUACGUAGGCUGUAGCAAUCAAAUGAAGCUACAUAUACAUUAACCAAUAUCAUACCUUCAAACGGUUGACCCAUAUAUAAGAACCAAUAAAAUGGCAAAAGUUGUAAGAUAAUGAUAAUCUGAAAGUAAAGGCAUUUUGGUUGAACGGUCAUCUACAAUACUAAAAGGAGAAUAUGGUGAGCAGAUAGAGUGUCCACAUCAGCAUGGAAAUUCUAACCAAUGAAAAACAUUCCUUUAGCCAUGUCAGCACUUCUUGGACGAGAUUUAGAGAAACUGGACCUAUUUAGAGAAACUGGACCUUUGUUUGGCCCACUAGCCACAUCAUUCUCUUCUCUAACGAGUAGUUCAAUCGUUUCCUCUUCACUUUCGUAAGUUUUCAUAAAACUUACAAUUCUUUCUCUGCGACACAAGAGAAUUGUGCUUUCCUGGAACUGCUUCCGAGAUGGUAUUGAAUACAAAUGAUCAGUCUUCUUCGCCAUCGCUGUUAGGUCUGAUUGGAGUUCGUCCUCUUCUGAUGAUCAAUAGGCCUUAUCCGGAGAGUGUGUUGCGAGAUUUCUGCGUUGAAAUACAGCCAGCAUCUCCGCUCUGCUGCAGCUCAAGACUUCUGCUAUUGACAUCAAAAGAAGCAGAAUUGAAACACCAAACAAUCUCAUUGCACAGAUUUGAGAGGCCGGUACUGGAAAGCAGAGUAAACAUAAGCCUAAUCUGUUUGAUCAAAGAACUAUAUCAUCUCAUGGAGUCUGAAAAAAGUGGCUGGAACCUUUUGAUAUGAGUAUGCGACUGUAGAAGUGGGCAAAUGCAGAAAGCUAAAAUAAAAAGAUAGACGAGGCAAGUACUUAAUCACCAUCAGCUAUAUUUUAUAUUGAAUUUUUUUAGAAUCCGGAUUGAGCUAGAUGGUUGUUGAAGUUUUUGUUUACUAUUGACAUUGUUCAAGCGGCAAGGACUGUUCUCUUCUUCGUCAAGUUUACCUCAAGUGUCCACCAUUCCAAAGAGGUUAUGGUGUAAACCACAAAGAUCAGGUAUUGGACGUAAGAAAGUGUAUACUCGCAGGUCAACCUCAAUGAGCGAAGUCAUUCUCUGCAAACCCAGAUAGAGCUGUGUAGUCGGAUGACCCAACUGACCGUUGAGGUAGAGUUUGUGGAGUUAUAAACCUGCCAAGCGCACCGGUAUCUCGCCCUGCAGGAAGUUAAGAGAUAGAUCCCGUCUUAUAAGAAGAAAGUUCAGAUCCAGUUUUGGCUAUUUUAGCAGAAAGGACAAAGGAGGACUAAAUGAAGAAUUAAUGUACCAGUUAAUAGGAUUACCUUCUACAAGCCUCAGUGAAAUUAAAACUUGAUGGAUCAUUUUGAAAACGUUUGAGGUGGCUGUAAUUGUUGUUUUGAUAAGCGACUGUGACCGGAUUACAAAAGACAGAACCAGAAGAUGUUACUCACCAAGAAAACUCUUUGAAAUCACACUCAUCCAAUCUUUCUCAACAAGUACGAUCUUUGGAAGAGAAACCGAACGACUUCUUUUGACACACUGCGAGUGGUUCCAAGAUUUCAGUCAUGUGGUUAAUCGUCACCGUCACCGUUCUAACACUACUUUGGAUCAGCUCACUUUCUGUUAUAUGCGAGUUAGGGGUUACUCUACCAUAACGGGGGGAAAUGGUUGUUUCUUUGAGCAAGAGUUUGGACCCAACCCUGUUGAUUCCUCUCUCAAUUUAGUUAUGGAGAUUCUCAAAUGAAGUGGGGAGAGAACCAUUUGCAUGAUAGAAUGCUCUAUGUAUAACACUAGACCAAGUUCUUCUCAAAUUAAUGUUUUAACAUUACAAAAGUCUUACGUAAAUGGUAAUUACUUUCUUUAAAACAA